GUAGGUGAACCUGCGGAAGGAUCAUUACAGAGUUCAUGCCCUUCGGGGUAGACCUCCACCCUUGCAUACCUUACCUUUGUUGCUUUGGCGGUCCGUUUCACCUUGCGUGAGACCACUGGUCUUGGCCAGUGCGUGACCGUCAGAGGUUCUCAACUCUAUAAUUUAUGUCGUCUGAGUACUAUAAAAUAGUUAAAACUUUCAACAACGGAUCUCUUGGUUCUG
rnacentral:misc_RNA from 1 species